rnacentral:rRNA from 3 species
UGUGUUGUUGGGUAGGGGAGCGUUCUGUAAGCCUGUGAAGGUGUGCUGUGAGGCAUGCUGGAGGUAUCAGAAGUGCGAAUGCUGACAUAAGUAACGAUAAAGCGGGUGAAAACCCCGCUCGCCGGAAGACCAAGGGUUCCUGUCCAACGUUAAUCGGGGCAGGGUGAGUCGACCCCUAAGGCGAGGCCGAAAGGCGUAGUCGAUGGGAAACGGGUUAAUAUUCCCGUACUUGGUGUUACUGCGAAGGGGGGACGAAGAAGGCUAGGCCGGCCGGGUGACGGUUAUCCCGGUUUAAGCGUGCAGGUGGGUGGUUUUGGAAAAUCCGGACCGCCGUUAACACUGAGGCGUGAUGACGAGGCGCUACGGCGCUGAAGUGGUUGAUGCCCUGCUUCCAGGAAAAGCCUCUAAGCU